rnacentral:lncRNA from 1 species
GAGGCACCAGAGCUGAGCUAGGAGGUCGCCAAACCUGUGAGUUAAAGUCAUAUAUCGUUUACGCACGUGUCAUGCAUAAAAUUUGAUUUGCUAGUGUGAAUAUUUAUUUGCAAUUUUAAUUUUUCAUUCAAUUAUUAUUAUUAUCAUUUGCAUGAUGCUUUUAAUUACUAUUUAAAUAUGUUUUUCCUUUAUUACCAAUUUUAAUAUUGCAUGAUGACUCAGGAUGGGACGGCAGUAGAACAUAGGAGUUGGAUGAGUGUCCAAUAUAAUAUGAGAGAGAUAGGAAAAGGGUAAAGAGGUAAAAAUUUUAAGAAAGAAAGAUUAGGACCUGCCCUGGUCGAGCAUCGCUCUCUGGGCUUAGUAGAGUGUGGUUGCCGGAGUAAAGGUCCCUGGUCGAGCAUUGCUCUCGGGGCGCCGGCUUAUUUGGAUAUUUAAGUGACCAGACUGGAGGUAAGGUCCCUGGUCGAGCUUUGCUCUCGGGGCGCCAGUCUUAUUAGAUUAAGAGAGUCGAAUGGCUAUUAGAUUUCUUAUUUGGAUACUUAAGUGACCAGACUGGAGGUAAGGUCCCUGGUCGAGCUUUGCUCUCGGGGCGCCAGUCUUAUUGGAUAAGAGAGCCAAAAGGCUAAGGCUGAGAGUUAAGUGACCGAACUGGAGGUAAGGUCCCUGGUCGAGCUUUGCUCUCUGGGCGCCAGUCCUGUUGGAAUGAGAGGUUUGAGAUGAUAGAGUUGAGGUUAGUUGAGACAUAAGUGUUGAAAUAAUCGAGAUUUUAGAGUUGGGAUUAGAGUUCUACUGAAGUACUCCGUCCCGUUGCAUGUGGAAUAAAUUUUGUUUAAGCAUGGCAUGACACGUAUGGUUCGCGUGAUUUAUUAAUUAUUUUAAAAUUAAAUGAAUGUGACAUUGAGAUAUUUGAAACUGUUUUAGAUAUAUGAUUUUAACUCACUCUCGAGACUGACAGUCUCCAUUUAUGUUUUUUUCAUAUUCGUGACUGUUAGUUCUCCCGCGACUCUUAUUCAGUAACCCGACUCCUUCAUCAUCGGGUGAUGUAUUUGAUUUGGUAUGUAAAAUGGUAAAUCUUAGAUUCUCCGCAGUAGUAAUAGUAGAUGUAUCAGUUGUAAAUUUUCUGAGCUUCGGGUCUCGCCUAGUUUUUCUGGCAGACCGAAGUAUUUAUGUAGAAUGUGGCUAUUAAGAUAAUUUAUGGUUUUAAUAAUAUUAAUUUGAGAUGAG